UAAUCUGCGAGCCCAUGACUCCGAUCAAGCAAAACGAGACUUGGAAUGUUCAAAAAAUUAUUCUCGAAACGAAAUACUUGACAAAUCGAGAUAAACGCAUUAACAUCACUAUAAACACGUACAACCACUGCGAAAACGAAACUGAUAAAAUAACAGAGGAAUUGGUUAUUGAAUUACAAAAUGAUCUUACAAAUUUAAUUUUGACAAGUGAAGCAAUACCAGGCGAUAUU